rnacentral:misc_RNA from 1 species
GUGUGAAAUAGAACAAACAAUAUACCAGAUCUGAAGUUCAAGGACCUAUACAGUACACAGAGAAUCUGUGUCUUUUAGAAUCAAUCCUUUUAUCAACUACUCUACAGCAUCAAAAUAGAUGAAAAAAAAAAUUGCAUUAAUAAAAAUGCUGGGGAAAGGAACUUUUCAAUGAACAGUUACUAUGAGAAGCCUGGAAAGAAGACAGAAAGAAACUUUCCACUUAUGGAGGUAUUAGAGAAUAAAGCCUCCCCAAAGAUAAAAUUCUUUGUGAGGAGUGACUUUCUUGAUUCCAUCUAUAGACAGUUUGAUGAAGAAAGGAUUUCGUUAGGUCAAUUAGGUGAGUUACAUGGUAGCGGAGGAAGAAGAAUGUCAAUCAUCAUUGUUGUUUGAAGAGGGUUCAGUAUUUUGGACCUUGGUCUUUUCCAGGUUGGGAUUAGUUGUGCUCCAACAUCAGUGAAGGAAUUCCUAGAAGAGUGGCAAGGGAAAAUAAUAUCAAAGAUGAAACAAUUUUU